CUGUGGCGGCCACCGCGUGACCCUGGGCAUGCCCUGAAGCUCUGCCACUUGCGCAGCCGGGCCUGGCCCCAGAGCGGGAGCUGGGGACCUUGUGGAGGCGGCUGCUACCCAUGGGGACGCCCGGGGGAGGGACAGUGUCCCAGCCCCCGGCUGCACACAGCCCCCCGGAGAAGCCACCCAGCUCGGCCAUCCUGUGCAGCACCUGCGGGAGUGUGUGCAAGGGCGAGGUGCUGCGUGUGCAGAGCCGGUACUUCCACAUCAAGUGCUUCGUCUGCAAAGCGUGCGGCUGCGACCUGGCCGAGGGCGGCUUCUUCGUGCGCCAGGGCGAGUACAUCUGCACACUCGAUUACCAGCGCCUCUACGGAACCCGCUGCUUCCGCUGCGACCAGUUCAUCGAAGGCGAGGUGGUGUCGGCGCUGGGCAAGACCUACCACCCCGACUGCUUCGUCUGCGCUGUGUGCCGGCUGCCCUUCCCACCCGGGGACCGUGUAACCUUCAACGGCAAGGAAUGCGUGUGCCAGAAGUGCUCCCUGCCCGCGUUGGGGGGUGGCAGCGUGCACUCCACCCAGGGCCUCCGCAGUUGUGGGGGCUGCGGGGUGGAGAUCAAGAACGGCCAGGCCCUGGUGGCCUUGGACAGACACUGGCAUCUGGGCUGUUUCAAAUGCAAGACCUGUGGGAAGCUCCUGACGGCCGAAUACAUCAGCAAGGACGGGCUGCCCUACUGCGAAGCCGACUACCACGGUGAGUUCGGCAUCCGCUGCGACGGCUGCGAGAAGUACAUCACAGGCCGCGUGCUGGAGGCGGGAGAGAAACACUACCACCCAGCGUGCGCGCUAUGUGUCAGGUGCGGCCAGAUGUUCGCGGAGGGCGAGGAGAUGUACCUGCAGGGUUCCUCCAUUUGGCAUCCGGCGUGCCGACAGGCAGCCAGGACUGAGGACAAGAACAAGGAGACCAGAACUUCAUCGGAGAGCGUCGUUUCUGUCCCAGCCUCCAGCACCUCCGGGUCUCCGAGCCGUGUGAUUUAUGCAAAGCUUGGCGAUGAGAUCCUGGACUACAGGGACUUGGCCGCUCUCCCCAAAAACAAAGCCAUCUACAACAUCGACCGUCCCGACCUGAUCUCCUACUCACCUUACAUCAGCCACUCCUCGGCAGACAGGCAGAGCUACAGCGAGUCUCCUCAGCUGCUGUCGCCCACGCCGACUGAGGGGGACCAGGACGACAGGUCCUACAAGCAGGGCCGGCCCUCCAGCCCCAGCUCCACCGGCUCGGUCAGCCUGGGUCGCUGCACCCCAACCUCGCGCUCACCACAACACUACAGUGGUCCAGCUGGUACUGUGAGUGUGGGUACCAGUAGCUGCCUCUCCCUGUCCCAACACCCAAGCCCUACCUCCGUGUUCCGACAUCAUUACAUCCCCUACUUCCGAGGCAGUGAAAGUGGCCGGAGUACGCCCAGCCUCUCGGUGCUGUCCGACAGCAGGCCCCCCUCCUCCACCUACCAGCAGGCGCCACGCCACUUCCACAUCCCAGACUCUGGCAUGAGAGAUAACAUCUAUAGGAGGCCCCCCAUCUACAAGCAGCAUGGUCCUGUAGCACAGUCCCCAUUUUCCAAGCUCUCGGGCCUGGUGUCAGCUUUGGCCUUGGUCGUGCAGGACACAGGGCGCUCUAGAGGCCCGGCAGGUCCAGCCUCGAGGCGCUGGGAUGGAGAGGACGGCAGCUUGGACCAGGACAGCAGGAAGAAGACCAGCUGGCUGCUGCUCAAGGGAGACUCGGACACGAGAACCAACUCGCCGGACCUGGACAGCCAGUCCUUGUCCCAUGGCAGCGGCCCUGAGCGAGAGCCCAUCCCGAGGAUGCCGGGGGACCAUUUCUGCUCGCGUUUCGCCUAUUCCAAAUCUGACUGUCUCCCAGGAGAUGGAAGCAAUGGCUUGGACCAGAGGAAUGCCAACCUGGCCCCUUGUGGAGCAGACCUGGAUGCCAGCUGGGGCACACGAGGUCUACCCUUAUGACGCCCUCAUCGUCACCAACCGAAUCCGCGUGAAACUGCCCAAGGACGUGGACCGGACGAGACUGGAGAGACACCUGUCGCCUGAGCAGUUCCAGGAGGUGUUCGGCAUGAGUGCCGAGGAGUUUGAGCGCCUGGCGCUGUGGAAGAGGAAUGACCUCAAGAAGAAGGCUCUGCUCUUCUAACUGCCCUGCUGGGUGCCCCAC